rnacentral:siRNA from 1 species
CUAUGACUAGGAUUUAACCGCGC